AACCUCCGCAAUGUGAGAAAUCGCGACGGGGGGAUCCCAAGUGCCAUUCUUAACGGGAUGGCUUUUCAUUAGUGUAAAGAGCUUUUGGAAUAAGAGCUGGGCAAGACCGGUGCCAGCCGCCGCGGUAACACCGGCAGCUCUAGUGGUAGCAAUUUUUAUUGGGCCUAAAGCGUCCGUAGCCGGUUUAAUAAGUCUCUGGUGAAAUCCUGUAGCUUAACUGUGGGAAUUGCUGGAGAUACUAUUAGACUUGAGACCGGGAGAGGUUAGAGGUACUCCCAGGGUAGAGGUGAAAUUCUGUAAUCCUGGGAGGACCGCCUGUUGCGAAGGCGUCUAACUGGAACGGUUCUGACGGUGAGGGACGAAAGUUAGGGGCGCGAACCGGAUUAGAUACCCGGGUAGUCCUAACUGUAAACGAUGCGGACUUGGUGUUGGGGUGGCUUUGAGCUGUCUCAGCGCCGAAGGAGCUGUUAAGUCCGCCGCCUGGGAAGUACGGUCGCAAGACUGAAACUUAAAGGAAUU
rnacentral:rRNA from 1 species